GAUGAACGCUAGCGGCAGGCCUAACACAUGCAAGUCGAGGGGUAGAACACUUCGGUGUUUGAGACCGGCGCACGGGUGCGUAACGCGUAUGCAAUCUACCUUAUACAGGGGAAUAGCCCAGAGAAAUUUGGAUUAAUGCCCCAUAGCAUUACGACUUGGCAUCAAGAUGUAAUUAAAGUUCCAACGGUAUAAGAUGAGCAUGCGUCCCAUUAGUUAGUUGGUAAGGUAACGGCUUACCAAGACGAUGAUGGGUAGGGGUCCUGAGAGGGGAAUCCCCCACACUGGUACUGAAACACGAACCAGACUCCUAAGGGAGGCAGCAGUGAGGAAUAUUGGUCAAUGGUCGCAAGACUGAACCAGCCAUGCCGCGUGCAGGAAGACGGUCCUAUGGAUUGUAAACUGCUUUUAUACAGGAAGAAACCCUCCCACGUGUGGGAGCUUGACGGUACUGUAGGAAUAAGGAUCGGCUAACUCCGUGCCAGCCGCCGCGGUAA
rnacentral:rRNA from 1 species